GGAGGGGGCGAGCGUUAUUCGGAUUUACUGGGCGUAAAGCGCACGUAGGCGGCUAGGGUAUGUCAAAAGGUGAAAGCCCUCGACUCAACCGAGGAACUGCCUUUGAAACUGCUUGGCUUGAGUCCCGGGAGAGGGAGCGGAAUUCCCAGUGUAGCGGUGAAAUGCGUAGAUACUGGGAGGAACGCCGGUGGCGAAGGCGGCUCCCUGGACCGGCACUGACGCUGAGGUGCGAAAGCGUGAGUAGCAAACAGGAUUAGAUACCCUGGUAGUCCACGCCGUAAACGAUGGGCACUAGGUGCAGCGGGUGUCGACCCCUGCUGUGCCGAAGCUAACGCAUUAAGUGCCCCGCCUGGGGAGUACGGUCGCAAAGGCUG
rnacentral:rRNA from 1 species